CAUGCAAAACCAUCGGAGAAUUACCAUGUCGUCGC
rnacentral:sRNA from 1 species